rnacentral:rRNA from 1 species
GCAAGGUUAACCGAAUAGGGGAGCCGGAGGGAAACCGAGUCUUAACCGGGCGUUAAGUUGCAGGGUAUAGACCCGAAACCCGGUGAUCUAGCCAUGGGCAGGUUGAAGGUUGGGUAACACUAACUGGAGGACCGAACCGACUAAUGUUGAAAAAUUAGCGGAUGACCUGUGGCUGGGGGUGAAAGGCCAAUCAAACCGGGAGAUAGCUGGUUCUCCCCGAAAGCUAUUUAGGUAGCGCCUCGUGAAUUCAUCUCCGGGGGUAGAGCACUGUUUCGGCUAGGGGGCCAUCCCGGCUUACCAACCCGAUGCAAACUGCGAAUACCGGAGAAUGUUAUCACGGGAGACACACGGCGGGUGCUAACGUCCGUCGUGAAGAGGGAAACAACCCAGACCGCCAGCUAAGGUCCCAAAGUCAUGGUUAAGUGGGAAACGAUGUGGGAAGGCCCAGACAGCCAGGAUGUUGGCUUAGAAGCAGCCAUCAUUUAAAGAAAGCGUAAUAGCUCACUGGUCGAGUCGGCCUGCGCGGAAGAUGUAACGGGGCUAAACCAUGCACCGAAGCUGCGGCAGCGACGCUGAUGCGUUGUUGGGUAGGGGAGCGUUCUGUAAGCCUGCGAAGGUGGCCUGUGAGGGUUGCUGGAGGUAUCAGAAGUGCGAAUGCUGACAUAAGUAACGAUAAAGCGGGUGAAAAGCCCGCUCGCCGGAAGACCAAGGGUUCCUGUCCAACGUUAAUCGGGGCAGGGUGAGUCGACCCCUAAGGCGAGGCCGAAAGGCGUAGUCGAUGGGAAACGGGUUAAUAUUCCCGUACUUGGUGUUACUGCGAAGGGGGGACGGAGAAGGCUAUGUUGGCCGGGCGACGGUU